GAUGAACGCUGGCGGCGUGCUUAACACAUGCAAGUCGAACGGUGAAGCAGGAGCUUGCUCUUGUGGAUCAGUGGCGAACGGGUGAGUAACACGUGAGCAACCUGCCCCUGACUCUGGGAUAAGCGCUGGAAACGGCGUCUAAUACUGGAUAUGUGAUGUGACCGCAUGGUCUGCAUCUGGAAAGAAUUUCGGUUGGGGAUGGGCUCGCGGCCUAUCAGCUUGUUGGUGAGGUAAUGGCUCACCAAGGCGUCGACGGGUAGCCGGCCUGAGAGGGUGACCGGCCACACUGGGACUGAGACACGGCCCAGACUCCUACGGGAGGCAGCAGUGGGGAAUAUUGCACCAUGGGCGGAAGACUGAUGCAGCAACGCCGCGUGAGGGAUGACGGCCUUCGGGUUGUAAACCUCUUUUAGCAGGGAAGAAGCGAAAGUGACGGUACCUGCAGAAAAAGCACCGGCUAACUACGUGCCAGCCGCCGCGGUAA
rnacentral:rRNA from 1 species